rnacentral:rRNA from 1 species
GAUGAACGCUGGCGGCGUUCCUAAUACAUGCAAGUCGAGCGAACGCACGAGAAGCUUUUUCUUCUGCUGUUAGCGUCUGACGGGUGAGUAACACGUGGAUAACCUUCCUCUUUUUCUUGGUUAACUUCGUGAAACCCGUGCUACUACCGGCUCAUAUUUUUUACCGCAUGGUUCAAAAGUGAUUGAGGGUCUUGCUGUUACUUAUAGAUGGAUCCGCGCUGCAUUAGCUAGUUGGUAAGGUAACGGCUUACCAAGGCGACGAUGCAUAGCUGACCUGAGAGGAUGAUCGGCCACACUGGAAAUGAGACACGGUCCAGACUCCUACGGGAGGCAGCAGUAGGGAAUAUGCCGCAAUGGGCGAAAGCCUGACGGAGCAACGCCGCGUGGGUGAUGAAGGUCUUCGGAUAGUAAAACUCUGUUGUUAGGGAAGAACAUAUGUGUAAGUAACUGUGCACAUCUUGACGGUACCUAAUCAGAAAGCCAAGGCUAACUACGUG